rnacentral:tRNA from 1 species
AAAAUCAGUAGACUUUAGAAAUCGUGAGGGUUCAAGUCCCUCUAUCCCC